rnacentral:rRNA from 1 species
GAUGAGCGCUGGCGGCGUGCCUAAUACAUGCAAGUAGAACGCUGAAGGCGGAGCUUGCUCUUCUGGAUGAGUUGCGAACGGGUGAGUAACGCGUAGGUAACCUGCCUGGUAGCGGGGGAUAACUAUUGGAAACGAUAGCUAAUACCGCAUGACAACAGUUAUUGCAUGAUAACUGUUUAAAAGGGGCAACUGCUCCACUACCAGAUGGACCUGCGUUGUAUUAGCUAGUUGGUGAGGUAACGGCUCACCAAGGCGACGAUACAUAGCCGACCUGAGAGGGUGAUCGGCCACACUGGGACUGAGACACGGCCCAGACUCCUACGGGAGGCAGCAGUAGGGAAUCUUCGGCAAUGGAAGGAAGUCUGACCGAGCAACGCCGCGUGAGUGAAGAAGGUUUUCGGAUCGUAAAGCUCUGUUGUAAGAGAAGAACGAGUGUGAGAGUGGAAAGUUCACACUGUGACGGUAUCUGACCAGAAAGAGACGGCUAACUACGUG